rnacentral:rRNA from 1 species
AGCGAAAGUGAUAAGUGCUCCGCCUGGGGAGUAUGCUCGCAAGGCUGAAACUCAAGGGAAUUGACGGGUGGCUCACACAAGCGGUGGAGGAUGUGGCUUAAUUCGAGGCUACGCGUAGAACCUUAUCCUGGGCUUGACAUGCACGGAUUAACCUCGUGAAAGCGAGGCGACGCCUUCGGGUGGAACGUGCACAGGUGCUGCAUGGCUGUCGUCAGCUCGUGUCGUGAGAUGUCGGGUUAAGUCCCUUAACGAGCGAAACCCUUGUCACUAGUUGCCAGCGGGUAAUGCCGGGGACUCUAGUGAGACUGCCGGUGUUAAACCGGAGGAAGGUGGGGAUGACGUCAAGUCCUCAUGGCCUUUAUGUCCAGGGCUGCACACGUCCUACAAUGGCGCGUACAAAGGGAAGCGAACUCGCGAGAGCAAGCAAAUCCCACAAAGCGCGCCCCAGUUCGGAUUGCAGGCUGCAACUCGCCUGCAUGAAGCCGGAAUCGCUAGUAAUCGCAGGUCAGCAUACUGCGGUGAAUAUGUUCCUGAGCCUUGUACACACCGCCCGUCAAGCCACGAAAGUGGGGAGCAUCCGAAGUCGCCGUGUAACCCUCAAGGGAGCUAAGCGCCGAAGAUG